rnacentral:rRNA from 1 species
UACGGAGGGGGCUAGCGUUGUUCGGAAUUACUGGGCGUAAAGCGCACGUAGGCGGCUUUGUAAGUUAGAGGUGAAAUCCCGGGGCUCAACUCCGGAAUUGCCUUUAAGACUGCAUCGCUAGAAUUGUGGAGAGGUAAGUGGAAUUCCGAGUGUAGAGGUGAAAUUCGUAGAUAUUCGGAAGAACACCAGUGGCGAAGGCGACUUACUGGACACAUAUUGACGCUGAGGUGCGAAAGCGUGGGGAUCAAACAGG